rnacentral:tRNA from 1 species
GGGGGUGGAGCUCAGCAGUAGAGUGCUUUAUUAGUAAGCACAAGGCCCUAGGUUCAAUCCCUAGCACCACCA